GACGGGGGAUGCGAGCGUUAUCCGGAAUGAUUGGGCGUAAAGGGUCCGCAGGUGGCCCGGUCAGUCCGCUGUCAAAGCCUGGGGCUCAACCCUGGAGAGGCGGCGGAGACCACCGGGCUUGAGUCCGGUAGGGGCAGAGGGAAUCCCCGGUGGAGCGGUGAAAUGCGUAGAGAUCGGGAAGAACGCCAAGGGCGAAGGCACUCUGCUAGGCCUGAUUUCGCGACUGACACUCAGGGACGAGAGCCAGGGGAGCGAAUGGG
rnacentral:rRNA from 1 species